AACGAACGCUGGCGGCAGGCUUAACACAUGCAAGUCGAACGCAUCCUUCGGGGUGAGUGGCAGACGGGUGAGUAACGCGUGGGAACGUGCCCUUCAGUUCGGGAUAACCCAGGGAAACUUGGGCUAAUACCGGAUACGUGCGAGAGCAGAAAGAUUUAUCGCUGAAGGAGCGGCCCGCGUCGGAUUAGCUAGUUGGUGGGGUAAUGGCCCACCAAGGCGACGAUCAGUAGCUGGUCUGAGAGGAAGAUCAGCCACAUUGGGACGGAGACACGGCCCAAGCUCCUACGGGAGGCAGCAGUGGGGAAUAUUGGAAAAUGGGCGCAAGCAUGAACCAGCCAUGCCGCGUGAGUGAUGAAGGCCUUAGGGUUGUAAAGCUCCUUCGUCCGGGACGAUAAUGACGGUACCGGAAGAAGAAGCCCCGGCUAACUUCGUGCCAGCCGCCGCCGUAA
rnacentral:rRNA from 1 species